rnacentral:rRNA from 1 species
CCUACGGGUGGCAGCAGUGAGGAAUAUUUGUCAAUGGGCGCAAGCCUGAACCAGCCAAGUAGCGUGAAGGAUGACUGCCCUACGGGUUGUAAACUUCUUUUAUAAAGGAAUAAAGUGAGUCACGUGUGCGUUUUUGCAUGUACUGUAUGAAUAAGGACCGGCUAACUCCGUGCCAGCAGCCGCGGUAAUACGGAGGGUCCGAGCGUUAUCCGGAUUUAUUGGGUUUAAAGGGAGCGUAGGUGGGAUGUUAAGGGAGUUGUGAAAGGUUGCGGCUCAACCGUGAAAUUGCAAUUGAUACUGGCAGCCUUGAGUACAGUUGAGGUAGGCGGAAUUCGUGGUGUAGCGGUGAAAUGCUGAGAUAUGACGAAGAACUCCGAUUGCGAAGGCAG